UACGAAGGUGGCUAGCGUUGCUCGGAAUUACUGGGCGUAAAGCGCACGUAGGCGGCUUUCUAAGUCGGGGGUGAAAUCCUGGAGCUCAACUCCAGAACUGCCUUCGAUACUGGAAAGCUCGAGUCCGGGAGAGGUGAGUGGAACUGCGAGUGUAGAGGUGAAAUUCGUAGAUAUUCGCAAGAACACCAGUGGCGAAGGCGGCUCACUGGCCCGGUACUGACGCUGAGGUGCGAAAGCGUGGGGAGCUAACAGG
rnacentral:rRNA from 1 species